CGGUCAUUAUGGUUAAAACCCUAAAUUUACCUUCAAAUUCAAGAUAAAUACAUGCUUUUUCCGAUAAAAACAGUAGAUAUCACAAAAACGUUGCAUUCUCUUCAUACUUUGUCGACAUUCGAGCCCACCCUAGAUUUAGAUAUAGAAAUGAAUACAAAUAGGAAACAGACUAUAGCACGAACUCACGUUGAUGAAAAGUCCAUUUGACCCUGUUUCUCACUGUUUCACAUUUUUCCCGAGCAAAAUGUCUAUUUUUGAUAUUUUUCAAAGCCUUAUUAAAAAAAAAAUGUCAUUUCUCUAUAGGUUACAAGAGCGCAAUUAUUCGUAAUGCAUUUUCCAUAGGGUACCACUAGUGUUCCGUAUUUUUUUUCUCGAAGACUACAC
rnacentral:lncRNA from 1 species